rnacentral:rRNA from 1 species
GACGAACGCUGGCGGCGUGCUUAACACAUGCAAGUCGAACGAUGAAGCCGGAGCUUGCUCUGGUGAAUUAGUGGCGAACGGGUGAGUAACACGUGAGUAACCUGCCCUUGACUCUGGGAUAACUGCUAGAAAUGGUAGCUAAUACCGGAUACGACCCUCGGAGGCAUCUCCAGGGGGUGGAAAGAAUUUCGGUCAAGGAUGGACUCGCGGCCUAUCAGCUAGUUGGUGAGGUAAUGGCGCACCAAGGCAACGACGGGUAGCCGGCCUGAGAGGGUGACCGGCAACACUGGGACUGAGACACGGCCCAGACUCCGCGGGGAGGCAGCAGUGGGGAAUAUUGCACAAUGGGCGAAAGCCUGAUGCAGCAGCGCCGCGUGAGGGAUGACGGCCUUCGGGUUGUAAACCUCUUUUAGUAGGGAAGAAGCGAAAGUGACGGUACCUGCAGAAAAAGCACCGGCUAACUACGUGCCAGCAGCCGCCGUAA